rnacentral:rRNA from 1 species
AAUAGAUACCCGGGUAGUCCUAGCUGUAAACGAUGAGCACUUGGUUGGGGGAUCCUCCCAUAGGUUCUCGACCGUAGCGAAAGUGUUAAGUGCUCCGCCUGGGGAGUAUGGUCGCAAGGACUGAAACUCAAAGGAAGUUGACGGGGGCUCACACAAGCGGUGGAGGAUGUGGCUUAAUUCGAGGCUACGCGAAGAACCUUAUCCAGGCCUUGACAUGUACGGAUGCUGCCCGUGAAAGCGGGUUAGUUGCCUUCGGGUGAAACGUGCACAGGUGCUGCAUGGCUGUCGUCAGCUCGUGUCGUGAGAUGUCGGGUUAAGUCCCUUAACGAGCGAAACCCUUGUUGCUAGUUGCCAGCGAGUCAUGUCGGGGACUCUAGCAAGACUGCCGGUGUUAAACCGGAGGAAGGCGGGGAUGACGUCAAGUCCUCAUGGCCUUUAUGGCCUGGGCUGCACACGUCCUACAAUGGUGCGUACAAAGGGAAGCAAACUCGUGAGAGCAAGCAAAUCCCCAAAAAGCGCACCUCAGUUCGGAUU